CCUACGGGAGGCAGCAGUGGGGAAUAUUGCACAAUGGGCGAAAGCCUGAUGCAGCAACGCCGCGUGAAGGAAGAAGGUUUUCGGCUCGUAAACUUCUAUCAACAGGGACGAAAGAAAUGACGGUACCUGAAUAAGAAGCACCGGCUAACUAAGUACCAGCAACCGCGGUAAGACGUAGGGGGCAAGCUUUAUACGGAAUUACGGGGUGUAAAGGGUGAGUAGGCGGCAUGGUAAGCCAGAUGUGAAAGCCUUGGGCUUAACCCGAGGAUUGCAUUUGGAACUAUCAAGAUAGAGGACAGGAGAGGAAAGCGGCAUUCCUAGUGUAGCGGUGAAAUGCGGAGAUAUUAGGAAGAACACCAGUGGCGAAGGCGGCUGUCUGGACUGAAACUGACGCUGAGGCACGAAAGCGUGGGGAGCGAACAGGAUUAGAUACCCCUGUAGUC
rnacentral:rRNA from 1 species